CGGCUGCGUGACCUGAGAGCGCGAAGCCGACCGAGUGCCAGGUCUACACUGACGGCCGGGACUGUGUUAGGAAUCUUAAAAGCACUACCAACAUGUCUGACAUCCAAGAAUCCAUUAACCAGCUCCAAGAUGUGAACCUUCAUGAGAAUCGGAGAUGUGUACAAGUGACAGAAAGUGACUUCGGAAGUGAGUCUGAACUUCUAGUCACUAUUGGAGCCACUGUACCUACAGGCUUUGAGCAAACAGCUGCAGAUGAAGUGAGAGAGAAAUUGGGGUCAUCAUGCAAAAUCAGCAGAGACCGCGGCAAGAUAUAUUUUGUCAUUUCAGUGGAAAGUCUGGCUCAGGUUCACUGUCUGAGGUCAGUUGAUAACUUAUUUGUGGUUGUUCAGGAGUUUCAAGAUUACCAGUUCAAAAAAACAAAGGAAGAAGUUCUUAAGGAUUUGGAAGACUUGGCUGGAAAACUCCCAUGGUCAAACCCUUUAAAAGUGUGGAAAAUUAAUACCAGUUUUAAGAAAAAGAAAACAAAGCGCAAAAAGAUAAAGCAGAAUUCAAGUAAAGGGAAGAUUGAUAAUGGACAAGGAGACAAAACAGAUGAGAGAGAGAUUAAGAAAGAGUUUACUAACAGUGCUUUAGAUUCAUAUAUCUUAGAUUAUUAUGAAAAUCCAGCCAUCAAAGAGGAAAUACCAACAUUAGUAGGUGAUGAUUUGGCAUCUUGCAAAGAUGAGACCGAUGAAAGCUCAAAAGAAGAAACUGAGCCUGAAGUUCUAAAGUUUAGAGUCACAUGCAACAGGGCCGGAGAGAAACAUUGCUUUACUUCAAAUGAGGCUGCAAGAGAUUUUGGUGGUGCUGUUCAAGAGUAUUUUAAGUGGAAGGCUGACAUGACCAACUUUGAU